rnacentral:lncRNA from 1 species
UUAAGGUGGAUCGGGACUAUUCGACUGCGCAUAAUUUCAUGCAUGAAUUACAAUGCACACGAAAAGUAUUUGUCGUAAAUUCGACAUUAUUUUUUUUAAUAUUUUGAUUGAUUAGAAAUGUUAAAUCAUUGUAGGUAUGUCACUUAAAGAAUAUUUUCGUUAUUAUGUGUAUCUUUUAAAGGCUCAAAACGACAUUUCAUGCAUUUUCACCAUUUUCCCGCCAAAAUUCUAGUUUUGAUGCAAAAUAAAUUUUUUUCCUUAUCGGUGACCUAUGUUUCUUAUUUGCUCAUUCUUUAAAGCUAUAUUUCAGGUUUUUAUAUUACAGUUUUGGACCAAGUGUCAUAGAACGUUUUUUUGAUAUUCCGAUAAAAAUAUGUCAACACCUCUAUUUUCCCUAUCAUUUCAUUGAAAAAUGGUCCCUUUUGUAUACCUGUUUAAAAGUAAAAUUUUGAGCUUAAAUGGUCUGUGACCCCCUAUUUUUUUCGACCAAUUUGAUUCACUUUCUAUAAAGAAUAAAAUAACAAAAAAUACGGCACUUCUGAUAGAAAAUUCGAAUAGUCCCGAGCCACCUUAA